rnacentral:rRNA from 1 species
GACGAACGCUGGCGGCGUGCUUAACACAUGCAAGUCGAACGGAAAGGCCCUGCUUUUGUGGGGUGCUCGAGUGGCGAACGGGUGAGUAACACGUGAGUAACCUGCCCUUGACUUUGGGAUAACUUCAGGAAACUGGGGCUAAUACCGGAUAGGAGCUCCUGCUGCAUGGUGGGGGUUGGAAAGUUUCGGCGGUUGGGGAUGGACUCGCGGCUUAUCAGCUUGUUGGUGGGGUAGUGGCCUACCAAGGCUUUGACGGGUAGCCGGCCUGAGAGGGUGGACAGGGACAUGGCGACUGCGGGACGGAGCAGACGGGUACGGGGGGCAACAGGGGGGAAUAUUACACAACGGGCGGGAGCCUGAUGCGGCAGCGCCGCGUGCGGGAUGACGGCCUUCGGGUGGUAAACCGCUUUCGCCUGAGACGAAGCGUGAGUGACGGUAAUGGGUAAAGAAGCACCGGCUAACUACGUG